GACACACUGAUGUUGUAUGGCUAGGAAAUGGGACAGUGAGGUGGACGGAAAACUCAGGAGCUCAGCAGCACCACAAAGCCAAGCUGAAGGCCCACCCUAACCCUAAGCCCUCUGGUCAGUACUGAGGUGGGCAGUGUUCAACAUUAGUGAUCUGGAUGAUGGGACAGUGCACCUUCAGGAGGUUUGAGGAUGACGCAAAACUUGGGGUGGUUCAUAAACUGUGCUAUUUCCCAGGGCAUCAACAGACUGGAGAAAUGGACUCACAGGAAUCUCAUGGAGUUCAACAAAGAGAAAUCCAAAGUUCUGCCCCUGGAAAGGAAUAACUGCGGGCACCAACACAGUCCAAGCAGCUGGAAAGAGAAGACCCUAGAGGUCCUGGAGAAGAACACUGAAUGGCUGAAGGUUUAGCACAGAAAAAAAAAGCCAAAAAGCCAAAGGUGGAGAGGAAAGAACCAAAAAAGCAGAUUACAGUUUUGGAGUCAUCAGUAGGAGAGAACCCAGCAAACUGACAGACCUGAAAUCAUGUCCUUUGAUUGUAAUUGACAGGGAAAGCGUUUAAGGUGUGUUCUUCUGUGACUUGUGAUGUUCAGAACUUCACGUAUAUGAAGGCACUUAAAAAACGAAAAACAACAAACCCUAUUAGAAGGCUUCAGGGAUGACCAUGUUGAGGGAUGGAUUUUAUACUUUGAUCUGAAGAAGCUGGGAUUCCCAGAAGAGCUCAUCUCUUUGAGGAUGGAGACACAUUGGGGAUGCAUGUUAUGAGUGAUAUGAAAAGAAGUUAGGUGGGACAAGGGGGAAAAAACCAGUAUUCUGGGUUUUCAUGAGAAAAGACAGAAGUCUCCUGAUCUUGCCAUCUUUUUCAUUCAACGUGUUUAGAACACUACCUGCAAGUGCUCUCAGAUGUCACUUGAAGAAGGAAGAAAGGAUUGGAUUAAAGUUUGUCAUGGAGAUUUUUAUUUUCACAUGAUCAGUCAUCCAAUUGAGGCAAUGCAUGGU